GUGAGCAACCUGCCCUGGACUCUGGGAUAAGCGCUGGAAACGGCGUCUAAUACUGGAUAUGAGACGUGAUCGCAUGGUCGUGUUUGGAAAGAUUUUUCGGUCUGGGAUGGGCUCGCGGCCUAUCAGCUUGUUGGUGAGGUAAUGGCUCACCAAGGCGUCGACGGGUAGCCGGCCUGAGAGGGUGACCGGCCACACUGGGACUGAGACACGGCCCAGACUCCUACGGGAGGCAGCAGUGGGGAAUAUUGCACAAUGGGCGAAAGCCUGAUGCAGCAACGCCGCGUGAGGGAUGACGGCCUUCGGGUUGUAAACCUCUUUUAGCAGGGAAGAAGCGAAAGUGACGGUACCUGCAGAAAAAGCGCCGGCUAACUACGUGCCAGCAGCCGCGGUAAUACGUAGGGCGCAAGCGUUAUCCGGAAUUAUUGGGCGUAAAGAGCUCGUAGGCGGUUUGUCGCGUCUGCUGUGAAAUCCCGAGGCUCAACCUCGGGCCUGCAGUGGGUACGGGCAGACUAGAGUGCGGUAGGGGAGAUUGGAAUUCCUGGUGUAGCGGUGGAAUGCGCAGA
rnacentral:rRNA from 1 species